rnacentral:rRNA from 1 species
CGAAAAAUAAUUUUUCGUGGCGUACGGGUGAGUAAUACACAGGAAUCUGCCUUUUAGUUCAGGAUAAAAUUCUGAAUAACAAAAGAAAACUUUUCGCUAAAAGAUGAGCCUGUGUAGGAUUAGGUAGUUGGUAUUUGGGUAAAGGCCUACUAAGCCUAUGAUCCUUAGCUGUUCUGAGAGGUUGUACAGCCACACUGGGACUGAGACAAGGCCCAGGCUUCAUUUGGAGCCAGCAGUGAGGAAUUUUGGACAAUGAGCGAAAGCUUGAUCCAGCAAUACUACAUGAGUGAUGAAGGCUUUCAAGUUGUAAAACUCUUUGGUUGAGGAGGAUAAUGACAGUACUCAACAAAAUAGCCCCGGCUAACUUCGUGCCAGCAGCCGCGGUAAUACGAAGGGGGCGAGCGUUAUCCGGAAUGACUGGGCGUAAAGGGUCCGUAGGCAGCAUUUUUUGUUAGAGGUUAAAUAAAAAAGCUUAACUUUUUUCCGCUUCUAAAACGUAAAUGCUUUGAGUUUGAUAGGAGAUAGCAGAAUUUCACAUGGAGGGGUGAUAUCCGUAGAUAUGUGAAGGAAUACCAGAGGCGAAGGCGGCUAUCUAGAUCAAUACUGACGUUGAGGGACGAAAGCAUGGGGAGCAAACAGGAUUAGAUACCCUGGUAGUCCAUGCCCUAAAAGAUGAGUGCUCGUGCUUAGAUAUUUUUAGGCACUUAGUUAACACGUUAAGCACUCCGCCUGGGGAGUACGACCGCAAGGUUGGAACUCAAAGGAAUUGACGGGGGCCUAUACAAGUGGUGGAGCAUGUGGUUUAAUGCGACAAUACGCGCGAAACCUUACCAGUUCUUGACAUAAAAAAGAAAAAGUUUGAAAGGACAAUUUUGAAGAUUUUUACAGGUGCUGCAUGGCUGUCGUCAGCUCGUGUCGUGAGAUGUUAGUUAACUCCUUUUAACGGGCGAAACCCCUUUUCUUAGUUGCCACUUAAAUUUAAUUUUAA